CGCAUACGAGUGCGGGAGUGCCGUUAAAGUAUCGCGCGUAAGUGCGAGAGUGCCGUUAAAAGUGUCGUGCGUAGUCAACGAACUUACGACCCUGACAAUUUGAGAGGAGAAGAAGGCCUAGGAGAGGCAUCGGGCACUGACGAAGCAACCCUAAGAGAAAACGUAUAACUUGAACAUCAAUUACUCCGCUAUUGCGCAUUGAUUGCAACGUUUGUCAAUUCUACUGUUACGCAUCGAACCG